rnacentral:rRNA from 1 species
CCUACGGGGGGCAGCAGUGAGGAAUAUUGGUCAAUGGACGAGAGUCUGAUCCAGCCACGUAGCGUGAAGGAUGACUGCCCUAUGGGUUGUAAACUUCUUUUAUAUGGGAAUAAAAUGUUCCACGUGUGGGAUUUUGUAUGUACCAUAUGAAUAAGGAUCGGCUAACUCCGUGCCAGCAGCCGCGGUAAUACGGAGGAUCCGAGCGUUAUCCGGAUUUAUUGGGUUUAAAGGGAGCGUAGGUGGAUUGUUAAGUCAGUUGUGAAAGUUUGCGGCUCAACCGUGAAAUUGCAGUUGAAACUGGCAGGCUCGAGUACAGUAGAGGUGGGCGGAAUUCGUGGUGUAGCGGUGAAAUGCUUAGAUAUCACGAAGAACUCCGAUUGCGAAGGCAGCUCACUGGACUGCAACUGACACUGAGGCUCGAAAGUGUGGGUAUCAAACAGGAUUAGAUACCCCAGUAGUC